AGCUCAGUUGGUAGAGUACCUGACUAGAGAUUCAGGGGGCCCAGGUUUGAAUCCUGG
rnacentral:tRNA from 1 species